rnacentral:misc_RNA from 1 species
GCCUUCGGGCUAGUGGCGGACGGGUGAGUAACACGUGGGAACGUACCUUUAGGUUCGGAACAACACAGGGAAACUUGUGCUAAUACCGAAUGUGCCCUUCGGGGGAAAGAUUUAUCGCCUUUAGAGCGGCCCGCGUUAGAUUAGCUAGUUGAGAGGUUUUUUCUCACCAAGGCUGCAACUAUAGCUGGUCGAGAGGAUGAUCAGCCUCACUGGAUNGAUCANUUCCCAGGGACCUACAGGAGGCAGCAGUCGGACUGACGUAAAACUCGAGCCUC